CUCUCAUCUUCGCUUGGCUAAGUUAUCCUUUGUGAGAAUCACUUCCUUGUGAACAAACCACCUGAAUAUCUUGAUUCUUAAAAGGACUUUAAUCUUCCUAAUAUGACUUGAUUUUUGAAUUGGUCCGGAGUUUAUUAGGUAUAGAUACAUAGACUUGACAGAAAUAUCCCAUUGAUGGAUAACUUUGAGUGAAUCAUGUCUGGCUCAUCAGAGAGGUGAAUAUCUGUCAACCUUCGCAUGAGAUGUAACCAGCUAUUCCAUCGGUCUCCUACUAGAGACCUUUCGAACUGGAUAUUCAGGGGGACAAUAUGUAAUGUUGUAGACACAUAAGUUUCCUUAUGUUGCACAAUAUUAUAC
rnacentral:lncRNA from 1 species